AUGCAAGUCGAGGGGCAGCAGGACGGUAGCUUGCUACUGUCGCUGGCGACCGGCGCACGGGUGAGUAACGCGUAUCCAACCUUCCCCUGAGUAGGGAAUAGCCCGGCGAAAGUCGGAUUAAUGCCCUAUGCUGUCCGACGAUAGCAUUUGAAUCGGAUGAAAGAUUUAUCGCUCAGGGAUGGGGAUGCGUCUGAUUAGGUUGCAGGCGGGGUAACGGCCCACCUGGCCGACGAUCAGUAGGGGUUCUGAGAGGAAGGUCCCCCACAUUGGAACUGAGACACGGUCCAAACUCCUACGGGAGGCAGCAGUGAGGAAUAUUGGUCAAUGGGCGAGAGCCUGAACCAGCCAAGUAGCGUGCAGGAUGACGGCCCUAUGGGUUGUAAACUGCUUUUAUAUGAGGAUAAAGUUCGUUACGUGUAACGUUUUGCAGGUAUCAUAUGAAUAAGGACCGGCUAAUUCCGUGCCAGCAGCCGCGGUAAUACGGAAGGUCCGGGCGUUAUCCGGAUUUAUUGGGUUUAAAGGGAGCGCAGACGGUCAGUUAAGCGUGCAGUUAAAUGAUGUGGCUCAACCAUGUUAUGCUGCGCGAACUGGCUGACUUGAGUUCACGGAACGUGGGCGGAAUUUGUGGUGUAGCGGUGAAAUGCUUAGAUAUCACGAAGAACUCCGAUUGCGAAGGCAGCCCGCGGCAGUGUUACUGACGUUCAUGCUCGAAGGUGCGGGUAUCGAACAGGAUUAGAUACCCUGGUAGUCCGCACGGUAAACGAUGGAUGCUCGCUGUCGGCGAUACAUUGUCGGCGGCCUAGUGAAAGCAUUAAGCAUCCCACCUGGGGAGUACGCCGGCAACGGUGAAACUCAAAGGAAUUGACGGGGGCCCGCACAAGCAGUGGAGUAUGUGGAUUAAUUCGAAGCAACGCGAAGAACCUUACCAGGUCUUGACAUCGUACGCAUAGCAUAGAGAUAUGUGAAAUCCCUUCGGGGACGUAUAGACAGGUGGUGCAUGGUUGUCGUCAGCUCGUGUCGUGAGAUGUUGGGUUAAGUCCCGCAACGAGCGCAACCCUUACUGUUAGUUGCUACGCAAGAGCACUCUAGCAGGACUGCCGUUGACAAAACGGAGGAAGGUGGGGAUGACGUCAAAUCAUCAUGCCCCUUAUGACCUGGGCCUCACACGUACUACAAUGGCUGCCAACAGAGGGAAGCGAAGCAGUGAUGCAGAGCAAAUCCCAAAAGCAGUCUUAGUUCGGAUUGCAGGCUGAAACUCGCCUGCAUGAAGUCGGAAUUGCUAGUAAUCGCAGAUCAGCAUGCUGCGGUGAAUACGAUCCCGGGCCUUGCACACACCGCCCGUCAAG
rnacentral:rRNA from 1 species